rnacentral:rRNA from 1 species
GCCUGCCCGGUGAUCAUAAAGAUUAAACGGCUGCGGUACUCUGACCGUGCAAAGGUAGCAUAAUCAUUAGCCUGUUAAUUCCAGGCUGGAAUCAAAGGCAAGACGAAGAGAAGGCUGUCUCUUUCUAUUUUUUUAGAAUUUUACUUUUUGGUGAAGAGGCCAAAAUGAUUUAGUGGGACGAGAAGACCCUAUUGAGCUUUAGCUUUUUCUUAAUAUAUAUAUUAAGAUAAGAGUUUUAGUUGGGGCAACUGUUUUUAAAAUUAAACGAAGAUUAUUGUAUAAUGAAUUAAUUCUAUUUUUGACCUAUAAUAAGUGUUUUGGUAAAAAGAAAAAGUUACCAUAGGGAUAACAGCGUAAUUCUUUUUGAGAGUACAUAUUGACAAAGGAGUUUGCGACCUCGAUGUUGGAUCAAGUUUUCCUGAAGGUGUAGUU